GAGUUGAACUUGGUUUAACAUUUUCCAUGUCAUACUUCUUUAAUAGAUCUUUAAUGUAUUUAUUUAUGAAGUUCCCUCUUUUAAUUGUUUAAUCUAUAGGCUUAAAAAAUAGUUGAGUUCUCUCAUCAUGCUCAUUUGAAAUUUAGUUUGCAUGCUUCUGAAAUUUUUUAGACUCAUUUUUAUUUGUUGUCUCAAAGAUUAUAUCA
rnacentral:lncRNA from 1 species